AUCCUUUUGUGGUUCAUAAGCGUGAAGACUGGGUUUUCACUCUCAUGUGUAAGAUGUGCCUCCCUCAAACCUUGUUACAACAUUGGCAUAUUACCCAUCUGAUG
ensembl:snoRNA